GCCCAAGGAGAGGAGGGAAGAUGCCACGCCGCAGUGACCAAGACGAGGAAGUGAGAGGGCCAGAGGCUAGGCUUGGGCCAGUGAAGCAUCUGCCAAAGUUUAAAGACAAGACGAGAACAAGGCUGGAUGAAUUUUUCAAAUGGUUUCUGCGAGAAAGUUCAAACCCUGGAAUGACUAAGUCUUCAGAAGAAUUCGGACUUUGUGAAGGGAAUUUGUUUGUAUCUGGUAUGAAUCACCCAGCCGCGGAUUUCUGCAGUGAGAAGACCUCUUAGAAAGUUUCUGGGUCAAGCCCUCAUUGCACACAUGGGGAAACUGAGGCUCGAGAUGGGAGAUGGGGCAGCCAAGUCCCAUAGCAGGGGCGGCAGGGACCCAGGAACUUGAGCCAUCACCUGCUGCCUCCCGGGAUGCACAUCAGCAGGAAGCUGGAUCAGAAGCGGAGCCAGGACUGGAACUCGAGCACUCUGAUGUGGAUGAAAC